GCGGACAGACGCGGCUCCGACAAACUCAUUACAGGGGUCGAGGCGGGGACCCGCCAACGUUUGAAGAAGGGAUGUACCUCUGCUCGCUGGUGCUGUCCGGACUGUUACUGGUUCUACUCUCCGCGGAGGCCAAACCUUUGGCUCCGUCGACCCAGGAUCCUGCACAUUUAGCGGGUGAACAGUCCCUAGGGAUUACCCCCACAGAAGGAUGGGAUGACAUGACGAAUGUGAGGGGCAAAGUACGUCUUAUCCGCAACGCCGAUCUCGAGGGCCGGCACCCGCGGAAGAAUAAGAAGCGCCGCAAAAAGAAAAAGGGUUGUUUCCGAGUGCGGAUGGACAAGAUAGGCGCAAUGAGCAAGUUGGGCUGUUAGACGCCACACUCCCAGCCACGGACACCGGACUCCGAACACUUUCUGGACGUCUUCUUGUUUUGCGAAAGUAGCGUUUCCUCCGAAAACGACGCCGUUUCUCCCGGUACGAAGAAUGACAUUUACCAGCGACUCUUUUGAAGAACCGCGACGGAUCAUGACUGUUUAUUUAAUUUCUGCAUAAAUGUAUUUAUGUUUAAACUAUAUCUUUAUAAAAGAAAGAUAUUUAUGAAAGUUUAUUUAUGUAACAAACUGAAGAGAGGGUUUGUAACACUUUAACAAGUAGAAUUUGUAACAUUUGUCCUAAUAGCGAUUACGUGUUAAAUUGCAUUUGACGACAGUCCGACAGUCUUUAUUUAUUGUAGUCCGUGAAAUACGAAAUAAACACAGACCUGCCAGCUC